UGUGGGGACCAGGGGCUGUGUGCACCAUGGCCUGGGCUCCUGUCCUGCUCGUGCUCCUCUCUCACUGCACAGGGUCCCUGUCCCAGCCUGUGCUGACCCAGCCGCCCUCUGCGUCUGCCUCCCCGGGAGCCUCGGCCAAGCUCACCUGCACCCUGAGCAGUGCGCACAGUGACUACAACAUUGAAUGGCAUCAGCAGCAGCCAGGGAAGGCCCCUCGGUACUUGAUGUAUGUUAACAGUGAUGGAAGCCACAGCAAGGGGGAUGGGAUCCCCGAUCGCUUCUCGGGCUCCAGCUCCGGGGCUGACCGCUACUUAACCAUCUCCAACGUCCAGCCUGAGGACGAGGCUGACUAUUACUGUGGUGCAGGUUAUAGCAUUGGUGGUUCAUAUGGUUAAAACACAGUGAUCCAGAUGAAUGGGGAAGUGGGACAAAAACUGUUUGCUCUACUCUGCUACCAAGGCUGCCACCUGG